rnacentral:rRNA from 1 species
GUGCCAGCCGCCGCGGUAAUACCGGCAGCCCGAGUGAUGGCCGAUCUUAUUGGGCCUAAAGCGUCCGUAGCUGGCUGCGCAAGUCCGUCGGGAAAUCCACUCGCCCAACGAGUGGGCGUCCGACGGGAACUGCACAGCUUGGGACCGGAAGGCUCGAAGGGUACGUCCGGGGUAGGAGUGAAAUCCCGUAAUCCUGGACGGACCACCGGUGGCGAAAGCGCCUCGAGAAGACGGACCCGACGGUGAGGAACGAAAGCCAGGGUCUCGAACCGGAUUAGAUACCCUAGUAGUCC